rnacentral:misc_RNA from 1 species
GUAUUAUGGUUUAUAGGCACAAGGCCCAUUAAAUGACAUUCGUAGACAUACAUUUGGGGUGUGUUAAGUAAAUAGACUGCGUUGUCACACCGAGACGUUUAAAUCCCAGCAAACCAAGUCUGACGACUUGAAGGACGACUUCACAGAUCUAUCAAAAGUUCACAGGUGGUUGAAAGACUAGUGAAGCGUGCACAUGCCCCUAGAGGCCAGCAACAACUCCAUAGUGAAUUCAUUAAUGAUCCUUCCGCAGGUUCACCUACGGAAA